ANUGGGCGAAAGCCUGAUGCAGCGACGCCGCGUGGGGGAUGAAGCUUCUCGGAGUGUAAACCCCUUUCGACCCGGACGAAUGCCCCGCAAGGGGACUGACGGUACGGGUAUAAGAAGCCCCGGCUAACUACGUGCCAGCAGCCGCGGUAAGACGUGGGGGGCCAGCGUUGCUCGGAAUUACUGGGUGUAAAGGGUUCGUAGGCGGUGUGGCAAGUCGGGAGUGAAAUCUCUGGGCUUAACUCAGAGACUGCUUCCGAAACUGCUGUGCUUGAGUGUGGGAGAGGCGCGUGGAAUUGCAGGUGUAGCGGUGAAAUGCGUAGAUAUCUGCAGGAACACCCGUGGCGAAAGCGGCGCGCUGGACCACUACUGACGCUGAGGAACGAAAGCUAGGGGAGCAAACAGGAUUAGAUACCCUGGUAGUCCUAGCCCUAAACGAUCAGGACUUGGGGUGCCACCCGUCCGGGUGUCGUCCCGGAGCUAACGCGUUAAGUCCUGCACCUGGGGAGUACGGUCGCAAGACUGAAACUCAAAAGAAUUGACGGA
rnacentral:rRNA from 1 species